UGAAGUUGUAAUUAAUACAUAAACCAGCUAGAACAAACUUCGUAGGUCAUACGGAAUUUUAACAUAACCAUAUUUAAUGGGACGCGUCUUCUUCCUUGCAAAAUUGAGCGUAACUUUCAUCAUUUAAUAGUGAUUUCAAUUCGUCAGGUGAUGAUAACUUGAUUUUGCAAAUCCAACCUUCUUCCUCGGGAGACGAGCUCACCUUAUCUGGUGAAUCACCAAGAGAUUCAUUGAUAGAAGUAACUGUACCAGACACUGGAGAAUAUACAUCACUAGCCGACUUGACUGACUCAACAGCACCGAUGCCAUCACCUACACUCACGGUAGUCUCAGGUUCUGGCAAUUCAACGAAUACAACUUCACCAAGAGCAUUCGCAGCAUAAGAGGUAAUUCCUACAGUUCCAACAUCUCCAUCGACUUUAACCCAUUCAUGUUCCUUAGUAAAGUGUUUAGUUGAGUAAUAUUUUACCGCGCUCCAUUUCAUGGAUAAAGUAGGAGCUGCUGCCUUCAAACAGAAACCGGUCUUUACAGAUGAGGUAAGAGAGGGAAGGAAACCAGAGCGAAGGGCAGAACGAGCUAACAUGUUAGGACUUGCAAAUUUUAUUCGUAGCUAAAAAGGAUGGUAAGUCGUUAACUUCGUAGAGCAGACAAAUAAUGCAAUAACGAAACCGCGCGAUGUAUCAGUGCUUUAUAGCGUCCUGCGUUGUACUCUGGCAUAUUUAAAAUGUAUACAAGUACAAAUUCACUAACUUGUUUUAAGAUACGUUAUUUCCUAUCUAUCGUACUAGUAAGCUAACUCAGUUGCCAAUUCUAAUUAACUAUAACAGUAUAUACGUCUCUCUAUAGAUGUAUAAGAAAAUAUACCGUUAUUGCUAUAAGGAAUUACGCUUGUAUGUUGAUUUUAUUAAUGAAUCAGUUCUGUUCCUCUUAAGUAAAAGCAAUAUUUGCAUAGGUUAAUAAGUCUACUUGCUUGUUCACUUAACCUUACAAUAAUUAUGUUUCUUCUUUCAAUUUUGAAAAACGUAAUUGCUUGACUUAGCUUUAGACAACUUGAACGUGCAUUCAAUAAAUUUGCCUACCCUAUAAUAUCUGGGAGAUAUAUAUUAACAAAUAUGUAAGGCAAGUAGUUGCUACAUUACCGUUUUUCUUUUUGAACUAGCUGAUAAAAUCUUUAAAGUCCUAGAGGAAAGGUAAUCCUAGUUAACCAUAACUGUCAAAUGUACAAUGCUAAAAACAAAGUAUUAUUACAGACAUCUGACGUUACGAUCUGCAAUACUGGUGUAAGCGAAACUUCUCCAUCUAGUUGAA